rnacentral:tRNA from 1 species
GUUGCAGUUAUGGUUUACCCGGGUUCUUUCACGGCGGUAACACGGGUUCGAAUCCCGUCGGGGACGCCA